rnacentral:lncRNA from 1 species
CCAACUCCCUCAAUUUAAAUUUUGAUGCGGCAGCAGACGAAGGUUUUGGAAAGGAUUUCUCAAAGGUUUCAAAUGCAACCCUUGGCCUACUACACAUUCUUUGCAACUACAUCACAACUUCUGAGCAUUGCAUGCUCUCCCUGUCUGUCAUGUGCCUGAUAUUGGAAGCUUCUUGAUGCCAAGGUAUCUGCCUCUCCAACCUGAACCAAUCUGCAAUCCGGUCAUUUAACAGACCUCAAACCUGCAGUUUUUGUCUCCAAACAAGCAAAAUAAAGUGCACAUCAGUCCAAUAAUAAUAAUUAAACCAUACUACUAAACCACAACAAUUCAGAGGGUCCUCAGGCAGCAUGAAACAGGCAGCAUGAAACAGCCUGCCCCGACAAUACAGUCACAACAGGAUGGUUCUGAUUUAUUUUAUUAACAUGUUCCUAACUAUCAAAACCAGUUGAGCCCGAGAAUGAUGCAGGGCCCUCCUUCUAAUGCACAUCCAGCUUCCCAAAAGAUGGGACAUGAGGACAACGUACACGGUAGAGCUGGAAAUGACUAUUAUCACAAUUUCAACCAAGAGAUGCUUCUCUACAAAGUGAAUUGAUUACCGGAACACCUCCAUAAGUCGGACCCUGCGACAAGCUCCAUUAGAAUCAAAAUCAUGAAAUCGUACAAAAUCUCAUAAGUCAUUAUCAAAAUAAAAUUUCAAACCUUUGUAGAGUCUCCAUCGUGCUCAACAAGUCAUGAAGAAGUGUGUUGAUGCUAAACGAAGUUUGGCGGACUUCAGAGUUGGAGAUACGGUCUUUGCCAAGCUACAGCCUUAUCAACAACAUUCUGUACCCU